ensembl:misc_RNA Metazoa_SRP Metazoan signal recognition particle RNA
GCCGGGCACGGUGGCACGUGCCUGAAGUCCCAGCUACUCGGGAGGCUGAGGUGGGAGGAUUGCUUGAGCCCAGGAGUUCUGGGCUGUAGUGCGCUACCGCACUAAGUUCGAUAUCAAUAUGGUGACCUCCCGGGAGCGGGGGACAACCAGGUUGCUUAAGGAGAGGUGAACUGGCCCAGGUCGGAAACGGAGCAGGUCAAAACUCCCGUGCUGAGCAGUAGUGGGAUCACGCCUGUGAAUAGCCACUGCACUCCAGUCUGGGCAACAUAGCAAGAUCCCGUCUCU